rnacentral:rRNA from 1 species
AUUGAACGCUGGCGGCAGGCCUAACACAUGCAAGUCGAACGGUAACAGGAAACAGCUUGCUGUUUCGCUGACGAGCGGCGGACGGGUGAGUAAUGUCUGGGAAACUGCCUGAUGGAGGGGGAUAACUACUGGAAACGGUAGCUAAUACCGCAUAACGUCGCAAGACCAAAGAGGGGGACCCUCGGGCCUCUUGCCAUCGGAUGUGCCCAGAUGGGAUUAGCUUGUUGGUGGGGUAACGGCUCACCAAGGCGACGAUCCCUAGCUGGUCUGAGAGGAUGACCAGCCACACUGGAACUGAGACACGGUCCAGACUCCGGAGGCAGCAGUGGGGAAUAUUGCACAAUGGGCGCAAGCCUGAUGCAGCCAUGCCGCGUGUAUGAAGAAGGCCUUCGGGUUGUAAAGUACUUUCAGCGGGGAGGAAGGGAGUAAAGUUAAUACCUUUGCUCAUUGACGUUACCCGCAGAAGAAGCACCGGCUAACUCCGUG